rnacentral:lncRNA from 1 species
CCCCACCAAUUGUACAUUCUUCUCAUUAAAGAAUCAGAGUUUUUCCCCUAAAUAUAUAUGAAGUUCGCAUGGAUUGAUCGAUUUUGCACUUGAUUUCCCCUGUCUUUUUUCAUCUGCCAUUGGUUGUUAUUUUCAAGGAUCAAAUAAUCUUAUACCACCUUGUUAGAACCUUCACCUUCCUUGACAGAGAUAGGCGAUGCAAUCCUAAAGAACUUAUGAAAGAAAUUCCAUUGAACAAAUAUGAAAUUAUAGACAAAGUUGAGAGAAUAGAGAGAAACUAGUAACUUGUUUAUCUCGUGAAUUACUUCCCAUAAAAUUGUACAAUCCAAUUAGUAGAAAAUUCAAUGAUUGUAACUACCACAUCUUGACA